GGGAGCAGAUAGGUGCUGGUGUGCCUCCUGGACUUCAAAUCCAGUGGCGGGCGAGACCCGUCCGCGGUGGGUUCGAUUCCCAUGUGCUCCCGCCA
rnacentral:tRNA from 2 species